CAGUCGCCGCGGGAAUACAGAGGGUGCGAGCGUUAAUCGGAUUUACUGGGCGUAAAGCGUGCGUAGGCGGCUUUUUAAGUCGGAUGUGAAAUCCCUGAGCUUAACUUAGGAAUUGCAUUCGAUACUGGGAAGCUAGAGUAUGGGAGAGGAUGGUAGAAUUCCAGGUGUAGCGGUGAAAUGCGUAGAGAUCUGGAGGAAUACCGAUGGCGAAGGCAGCCAUCUGGCCUAAUACUGACGCUGAGGUACAAAAGCAUGGGGAGCAAACAGGAUUAGAUACCCGGGUAGUCCCUGUCUCUUAUAC
rnacentral:rRNA from 1 species